rnacentral:rRNA from 1 species
CUACGGAGGGUGCAAGCGUUAUUCGGAAUCACUGGGCGUAAAGGGUGCGUAGGCGGUUUGAUAAGUCUGAUGUGAAAUCCUAUGGCUCAACCAUAGAACUGCAUUGGAAACUGUCAGACUAGAAUACUGAAGGGGCAGAUGGAAUUAGUGGUGUAGGGGUAAAAUCCGUAGAUAUCACUAGGAAUACCGAAAGCGAAAGCGAUCUGCUGGGAAGUUAUUGACGCUGAGGCACGAAAGCGUGGGGAGCAAACGGGAUUAGAUACCCCAGUAGUCC